CAUUAUAAUCACCUUCGGACUUUCCGAAGCCUACACGCUCGACGAAUAGUCGAUUCCAAUCGAAGUCCAAUCCUCGGAUUUUGAGGAUUCACUUCCUUACAUCCUCCCCACCUUACAAGAGUUUCGUCCUCGAAACGAACUCAAUACUACUAAACUUAACUAGAAUCUCAAUUUCUAAACUCGUACCUCGAUUUAAUCCUCA
rnacentral:lncRNA from 1 species